GACGAACGCUGGCGGCGUGCCUAAUACAUGCAAGUAGAACGCUGAAGGAGGAGCUUGCUCUUCUGGAUGAGUUGCGAACGGGUGAGUAACGCGUAGGUAACCUGCCUGGUAGCGGGGGAUAACUAUUGGAAACGAUAGCUAAUACCGCAUAACAGUAGAUGUUGCAUGACAUUUGCUUAAAAGGUGCAAUUGCAUCACUACCAGAUGGACCUGCGUUGUAUUAGCUAGUUGGUGGGGUAACGGCUCACCAAGGCGACGAUACAUAGCCGACCUGAGAGGGUGAUCGGCCACACUGGGACUGAGACACGGCCCAGACUCCUACGGGAGGCAGCAGUAGGGAAUCUUCGGCAAUGGACGAAAGUCUGACCGAGCAACGCCGCGUGAGUGAAGAAGGUUUUCGGAUCGUAAAGCUCUGUUGUAAGAGAAGAACGAGUGUGAGAGUGGAAAGUUCACACUGUGACGGUAUCUUACCAG
rnacentral:rRNA from 1 species